CCUACGGGAUGCAGCAGUAGGGAAUAUUGCUCAAUGGGGGAAACCCUGAAGCAGCAACGCCGCGUGGAGGAUGAAGGUUUUAGGAUUGUAAACUCCUUUUGUGAGAGAAGAUAAUGACGGUAUCUCACGAAUAAGCACCGGCUAACUCCGUGCCAGCAGCCGCGGUAAUACGGAGGGUGCAAGCGUUACUCGGAAUCACUGGGCGUAAAGAGUGCGCAGGCGGGCUUGUAAGUCAGAUGUGAAAUCCUGUGGCUUAACUACAGAACUGCAUUUGAUACUAUGAGUCUAGAGUGUGGGAGAGGUAGGUGGAAUUCUUGGUGUAGGGGUAAAAGCCGUAGAUAUCAAGAGGAAUACUCAUUGCGAAGGCGACCUACUGGAACAUUACUGACGCUCAUGCACGAAAGCGUGGGGAGCAAACAGGAUUAGAUACCCCUGUAGUC
rnacentral:rRNA from 1 species